GGCGGGACUCCAAUUCCCGGCAUUCGUUGCCAGUUGUCAGUUGCCGGGCUCGACGGUUUUUCCUCAGCGAGAGGGCGGCAGGCAAGACUGGGGAGAGAUCAGCAUCCAGACUUGAAGGGGCCCGACACUGAUACAGGUUGCAAGGGGUUAACGGCUUCAGAAUGCAAGAUAUACCAUCUCCUCCAGCUGACCGUUCAUCUCAACCCGUCACACCUCGCGCUGCAUCUCGCCAAACACAUCCAGUUUUCAGAUCCUUCCGGAGAAGGGGAGCGGGUUCGGCUUUUUU